CUAGUUAACAAUGUAACAUCCUAGAAAAAUCGAAAUGAGAGGGAUCUAGAGGUUGUACAAGUAUGAGAUUAAGAUCAACUUGAUAUCAUGUAUACAUCUCUUGAUAGCCUGUAUAGACCACACAAUGUCAUAGAAGGAUAAGAUGAAAAGAGAAGGACUCUGUGUUGGGCUCAAGAAUCUAAAUCCAAAGAACUGGGAGAACUAGAGGUCGUGGGAAAUCACCCUGGAAAUCCAUGUCCCUCUUCUAGCUUCCACCGAGAUAAGGGGGAUGAGCAGUCUCACUCUAAGCAUGAGGUAAAACUCAAUAUGAUGGUGAUGAUGUUGGAGAUGAGGUAUACACCUUACCUUGGGUUCAUGCUAUAAUAGGAUGUGACAUCAAAGCUUAGUUAGGAUUUGAAUUCUGCUAUAUGUUCAUGUUUAGGACGAUUAUUAGUCUCCGUUGUUAUUAAAUUUCAGUAAACAUUAGGUUGGCAUAUUGUUUUCGAUUAGUAUGUAAUGUGAUAU